rnacentral:lncRNA from 1 species
GGGUUGGGCCCCAGCAGUGUAUGAACUCAUAGGGUCCCCGCCUUAUCAACUUAAGUAGGACUUAAGACGCAAGCGCUCUUGGGCAGCCAGCUUGGAUGCGCAGGAGGUGCAGAGGUCUAAAUAACUGAAAAUAGAUUACAAGGCUAAUAUAUAAGACAUUGCACGUGGACUCUUAUUCUCUGUAAAGGGCGCGAGCAAGCACAUCGGGAUGGAGAUAUGACUAAGUAGUUACCAGAGCGUAUCCCAAGCAUCUUCGCAGCAGUGUACCUGCAAGCAGGAACUGCUGGCAGAGCGCGGUCUUGCGGGAGCUGCUUGCAUGGCCACGCUCCACCAGAUUCCCGCUUCAAAAUCCCGGCAUGCCAACUGGGCGCUGUCCUGCUGCCACAAGGUGCCACAUCCCAGCCACUUCGCAGCAAACCGGAAAUUCAUGCACUUGAGAUGUAGAGAUGCAGCUAUUUGUUUUUAAGAUUUGGUUUGUGUUCCUUUCGUAAGGCCAAGACGAGCCAGGAGGCUCAUAAACUAAAAAAAGGAAAAACGGAGGGAAAAUCUCUAGACUUAAUAAACAAAUUACGGUAGUCACUGGAUAAACGACAGGUGCAUCCUUAACAACCGAGUAUCGUAUCAAACGCCUUGGAAAACAAGCUUCGACUUCUCGAAGCGAAGUAUGAGUGUAGAGAUAGGCAAGUUAUUGCGAAGGAACUGCCGUGGUGCGUGGAAGUAGGGCGCAUGCAUGCAUGCAUGUGCCGGACCGCAGUACGGCAAGGGACGCCGAGCUCCUACUUGGGUCCCACAGGCGCAUUGGUUCUUUAACUGCCGUUGUUUUGACUAUUACCAAGAGGUGUGUCCCGCUGCUGGGACAGUGUCCUCUAGUUAUGUGUUGCACCGUCUUUUCUUAGCAAUACUAGAAUCGAAUGUCGGCUAUGGAAAUUGGCGCUGCGGGCGCAGAAAGAUUAGUGCUCACUCCCGAAAUGCGGGCCCUCUUCGAACAGCAGCUAGCUGAGGAGCGCGAGUUAUUUCGCCAGCACUCACAGCUUACUUCGACCGGAGGCUGAAGGAGCACGAGGAGCUAACCCAGCUGAUGUUAGCUCAGCCCGAAGCGAUAAUCUUUUACAAUGUGCGGAGCCGCCGGCCCUUAGCCAGCCACCCGCAAUUACGCGGAUCCUGGGCCUUGGUGAAGGUUGUGCGCGUCGCUAUUGAGCGCAUUAACUUAAUUUGAACAGCAAUGGCGGAUGAUGCGUCCGAAGAAGGUCAGGCGUUGCUGAAAGCUGUCACGUGGUUAACCAACCUCCGCUAUUUAGCUUCCAUUGCCGCUAGGAACGCCACCAUACAUUAGGAGUUCAAAUCCGUUAUGAAAUGUUGUUAUCUUGAGUUGUGAAUUCUAAUGCGUACCN